rnacentral:lncRNA from 1 species
UCUUGGAACGAGCGCGACGGUGACGUUGCGGUGUGCGGCCUUUCGGACGAGAAGACUGGGCUUACGUUGGAUGCAAGUUAUUGUCGUCCGGCAAGGUUUUAAAAAGUGAUGUUAUAGCCACUGGACAUUGAAGCGAUUGAAGACCAGAAAGCCUUAGUGCGACCGGCUUGAUUCAGAUUACUCCCCGAGAGCGACACUCGUUAAGGAUGCGAGUAUUUGAAGUUCCGCUUUCAAGCAUUGGACGGCCUGCAAAUUACCAUUGGAGCCAAACUGUAUGCAUUUUCUAGAUGAUCUUAAAUACGGAGCGGUAUUCUAAAGAUGUAGUUGUGCAGUGUGUAGUUCGUAGAUUACGAAACAACGGAGCGAGAAUACAGUUGGCGUUCCGUUUUGGGUCAGUUAUUUUGUUUUCCUUUUUCCAUGUUUUAAAGUCGCUGUGCUUUAUGCUCAGGAUCGAAGCAAAAUGUACAGGAGUAGGCUGCGAUGUGAUGCGUGUUGUAUAAAACCAAUAAACCAAAAAUGGCA